UACGUAGGGGGCAAGCGUUAUCCGGAAUGAUUGGGCGUAAAGCGUCUGCAGGUGGCAGUUCAAGUCUGCUGUCAAAGACCGGGGCUUAACUUCGGAAAGGCAGUGGAAACUGAACAGCUAGAGUAUGGUAGGGGCAGAGGGAAUUCCUGGUGUAGCGGUGAAAUGCGUAGAGAUCAGGAAGAACAUCGGUGGCGAAGGCGCUCUGCUGGACCAUAACUGACACUCAGGGACGAAAAGCUAGGGGGAGCGAAUGGG
rnacentral:rRNA from 1 species